rnacentral:rRNA from 1 species
GAUGAACGCUGCGGCGUGCCUAAUACCUGCAAGUCGAGCGAACAGACGAGGAGCUUGCUCCUCUGACGUUAGCGGCGGACGGGUGAGUAACACGUGGAUAACCUACCUAUAAGACUGGGAUAACUUCGGGAAACCGGAGCUAAUACCGGAUAAUAUAUUGAACCGCAUGGUUCAAUAGUGAAAGACGGUUUUGCUGUCACUUAUAGAUGGAUCCGCGCCGCAUUAGCUAGUUGGUAAGGUAACGGCUUACCAAGGCAACGAUGCGUAGCCGACCUGAGAGGGUGCUCGGCCACACUGGAACUGAGACACGGUCCAGACUCCUACGGGAGGCAGCAGUAGGGAAUCUUCCGCAAUGGGCGAAAGCCUGACGGAGCAACGCCGCGUGAGUGAUGAAGGUCUUCGGAUCGUAAAACUCUGUUAUUAGGGAAGAACAAAUGUGUAAGUAACUAUGCACGUCUUGACGGUACCUAAUCAGAAAGCCACGGCUAACUACGUG